GAUGAACGCUGGCGGCGUGCCUAAUACAUGCAAGUCGAGCGAACAGAUGAGGAGCUUGCUCCUCUGACGUUAGCGGCGGACGGGUGAGUAACACGUGGAUAACCUACCUAUAAGACUGGGAUAACUUCGGGAAACCGGAGCUAAUACCGGAUAAUAUAUUGAACCGCAUGGUUCAAUAGUGAAAGACGGUUUUGCUGUCACUUAUAGAUGGAUCCGCGCCGCAUUAGCUAGUUGGUAAGGAAACGGCUUACCAAGGCAACGAUGCGUAGCCGACCUGAGAGGGUGAUCGGCCACACUGGAACUGAGACACGGUCCAGACUCCUACGGGAGGCAGCAGUAGGGAAUCUUCCGCAAUGGGCGAAAGCCUGACGGAGCAACGCCGCGUGAGUGAUGAAGGUCUUCGGAUCGUAAAACUCUGUUAUUAGGGAAGAACAAAUGUGUAAGUAACUAUGCACGUCUUGACGGUACCUAAUCAGAAAGCCACGGCUAACUACGUG
rnacentral:rRNA from 1 species